GCCUACGGGACGCAGCAGUGAGGAAUAUUGGUCAAUGGACGAGAGUCUGAACCAGCCAAGUAGCGUGAAGGAUGACUGCCCUAUGGGUUGUAAACUUCUUUUAUAUGGGAAUAAAAUGUUCCACGUGUGGGAUUUUGUAUGUACCAUAUGAAUAAGGAUCGGCUAACUCCGUGCCAGCAGCCGCGGUAAUACGGAGGAUCCGAGCGUUAUCCGGAUUUAUUGGGUUUAAAGGGUGCGCAGGCGGCACGGCAAGCCGGCGGUCAAAUCGCGG
rnacentral:rRNA from 1 species